rnacentral:snoRNA from 1 species
GAUGCAGGGGAUGAUGUAUUUUAUUGUGAAUACGAGUAUGAUAUACACUGGCACAAUUUUAAGCGUUUGGCGGAUAUU